rnacentral:rRNA from 1 species
UACGGGGGGAGCAAGCGUUGUUCGGAUUUACUGGGCGUAAAGGGCGCGUAGGCGGUCGUGACAAGUCACUUGAUGAAUCUCCGGGCUUAACUCGGAACGGUCAAGUGAUACUGUCGGACUAGAGUACAGAAGGGGCAACUGGAAUUCUCGGUGUAGCGGUGAAAUGCGUAGAUAUCGAGAGGAACACCGAUGGCGAAGGCAGCCCCCUGGGUCAAGAUUGACGCUCAUGCACGAAAGCGUGGGGAGCAAACAGG